UACGUAGGGGGCAAGCGUUGUCCGGAUUUAUUGGGCGUAAAGGGCGUGUAGGCGGCUGGUCAAGUCGUGCGUAAAAUCUCCUGGCUCAACUAGGAGGCGCCGCACGAUACUGAUCGGCUCGAGGCCGGCAGGGGGAAGCGGAAUUCCCGGUGUAGUGGUGGAAUGCGUAGAUAUCGGGAGGAACACCAGUAGCGAAGGCGGCUUCCUGGUCCGGUCCUGACGCUGAGGCGCGAAAGCGUGGGGAGCGAUCCGG
rnacentral:misc_RNA from 1 species